AAGAUUUUUUUUUAAGUUUAUUUAUUUAUUUUUGAGAGAGAUCGCGUGAGAGAGUGGGAGUGGAGGUAGGGCAGAGAGAGAGAGAGAGAGAGGGAGAGAGAGAAUCCCACCAGCGCAGAGCCCAAUGCAGGCCCGAUGUGGGACCCAAACCCACCAACGAAGAGAUCGUGAUCCCAGUGGAAGUCAGACACUUACCCAACUGAGCCACCCAGGCACGCCGAAGGUGGAAAAUAUUUGACCCCGGCAGUCUGGUUCCAGAUCCUGGGCUGACUGUUCUACAUCACAACGGAAGGCCCAUAGCUCCCUGGUUACCCCUGUGUAACCAGCAUUGAGCACAGUGCUUGGCAGGGUGUAAGCAUCAAUAAACACUUGUCGAAUGAAGAUACACCUGAAUGAUCCCUCCAUACUAGGCAGUAUGUAUGUCUUCAUAGUGCUCGGUGCUUCAGAAAGACGGAUGAACAAUUCCGGGUAUUAUAAUGAGUCCAGGUUUUAUUAGCACCUUGGCAUCUCCCUGCAGUUAGUCUCUGCUUCUCAUUCCAGGUGGAAACACCGAGACAAAACAGAAAAGUCAAGAAUGGAGUGUUUCAUUCUUCCCCAGACAGCAAUUCAUACAGAUGUCUACUGGGUAUGCUUCACACCCAGUGCAGAGCCCAAUGCAGGGCUUGAACUCAUAACCCUGAGAUCAAGACCUGGAUGCUUAACCAACUGAGCCACACAGGUGCCCCACCCAGAAAGUCAACAAAGAACAUGAAUUGGUUAACCUUAAAGAGAGCUAUCUUUAGUGGCCUGGAAUUUAAAGGACAAAUAAGAGAAGGAUGUCUUUAAUAAACAAGUGAUGUGUCAUUUGGGACAAAUGCAGCGUGACAUGUGGGUUCCUCCAACACAGUCAUCAGGAUACUUCAGCAUACCUGGCAUAGUUCACAUUUGCAAGGUAUAUGUGUGUGUAUGUGUCAACCUUAGUGUUUAAUUUCACUACUCGUCCGUCUCAGCAGGGCUCGUGCUUCCGGCGGUCUUUCUGCCCGUGAGGACAGGUAUAUACACAGAUUCUUCUUGUGCCUGAUCUAUAUUUUGACAUGUGGCUUACACAGGUCAGACGUUUGGCUCGCCAGAAUCUGUGACCAGGAUAGCAUAUUAUUAUCUGGCCCACCAGGGGAUUGGACCCAAAGCGUAGCCAACUAUUCUCACCAAUCAGUUCAGGAAAUGUGACAUUUUCACAUCAGCUGGGCCAUUCAUGCUACUUCUUUGUGUCUCCGUUUCUACAUUUUUUCCCCCAGAGAUAAUAACACCUCCGUGACACUUAAUGGAAGCCAAUAUUUUGCCCGAUAGAAUAUGUUGACUGCAGGCUGUUAACUGGUUUAUAAGAUAAUCCAAUUAACUGGAGAGAAAGACAGUAUACAAUGUUAAAAACAGUUGCAUUGAUUAAAACCUAAUUACAACUAAGUUGAAAACUGGCUUUUUUUUAAAAGAACUUUUUCAGUUUGGAGGAAAUUCAAUAGGGGGAAAAGAAAAGUAAAGAAAUUGAAAGAAAUAGGAAGAGAAUUUUUCCUGUUUUUGAGUCAAAACUUUUUGAGGAAACAUAUCUAUUCCAACCCCUGUUUUUCUUACUCAUCAAUAAAAUGCAGCAUCCCAUAAAAUUUGCUAUAAUAUGAUGCGCCAGAGUUCUUUAAUUAUCAGAUAAAGUCUCUUUUCCUGUUACAUUAUUAUUGUAAUUAGAGUGUACUUUUCAGCUGGCC